CAUUUAAAAAAGACACCAAAGGAUUACUUUAUUCACAGUUGAGGGUUACCACUCGAUAGCUGAAGUUGGUGAACAGUGGGAACUGGACAAACCUAUUGAAAAUGAGACAAGUGUUAAUUGUUUUAUUGGUGGCAACCGCGCUGGUUGGAAUCGCCCAAUCCGCAGCGACAAGCUGUGCUGCGAAUGGAGAAUACUGUCUGCGCCACAGUGAAUGCUGCUCCGGCUCCUGUCUAUUUUUCUCAUACAAAUGCGUACCGAUAUCGGGCCCUGUUUACCCGCCCGUUCAGUCAACAACCUGGAACCCACCUCCGAACUGUGCGAAGAACGGUGAAUAUUGCCUAAUGCACAGUGAUUGCUGCUCGGGUGCUUGUCUAUCCUUCUCGUAUAAAUGCGUUCAGCUCCAGGGAUAAAAUUACUCGCUGUUCUGAAACACCAUUCAUACACAAAACAUAGUCGUGUUCAGAAAUAAAU